rnacentral:pre_miRNA from 1 species
AUAUGUGUGAAAGCUAAUAUGAUGAUGAUGAUGAUGAUGAUGAUGAUGAUUAGUAUUAGUAUCAUCAUCAUCAUCAUCAUCAUCACCAUCACCAUCAAGAAAA